rnacentral:rRNA from 1 species
UCCAGACUCCUACGGGAGGCAGCAGUGAGGAAUAUUGGUCAAUGGGCUUACGCCUGAACCAGCCAAGUCGCGUGAGGGAAGACUGCCCUAUGGGUUGUAAACCUCUUUUGUCAGGGAGCAACGCCGGCUACGUGUAGCCGGACUGAGAGUACCUGAAGAAAAAGCAUCGGCUAACUCCGUGCCAGCAGCCGCGGUAAUACGGAGGAUGCGAGCGUUAUCCGGAUUUAUUGGGUUUAAAGGGUGCGCAGGCGGAAGCGCAAGUCAGCGGUAAAAUUGAGAGGCUCAACCUCUUCCCACCGUUGAAACUGCGUUUCUUGAGUGGGCGAGAAGUACGCGGAAUGCGUGGUGUAGCGGUGAAAUGCAUAGAUAUCACGCAGAACUCCGAUUGCGAAGGCAGCGCACCGGCGCCCUACUGACGCUCAGGCACGAAAGCGUGGGUAUCGAACAGGAUUAGAUACCCCUGUACG